rnacentral:lncRNA from 1 species
UUACAACCAAGAGAUCUGAGAAGCCUACUUAAUGAGCACAAGUGGUGCUGGAUAUAAAAAUCUAAUCUUCCUUCAGAAAUAGUUACAAGCUUUUCUGGUAUCUAUUUUACGAACAAUCAGCUGCCUACUUCAGGAGUUAUCAGUGUUGCCUCUCGGAUAUUCUCCCUAAAUUAUGAUUGUGCUGCAAGGAUUUUCACUAUACGUAUCUCAAUGUAAAUCAGACUGAAAGACACUGCAAACUGUUAACCCUUUAGGACUUAUUGCACAGCAUUUCCUUUACAUGCUACCCAACACCUACCUCUAAGCUAACUGUGCUUCUCCACCUUCACCUUCACUGAAG